rnacentral:rRNA from 1 species
GAUGAACGCUGGCGGCGUGCCUAAUACAUGCAAGUAGAACGCUGAAGGAGGAGCUUGCUCUUCUGGAUGAGUUGCGAACGGGUGAGUAACGCGUAGGUAACCUGCCUGGUAGCGGGGGAUAACUAUUGGAAACGAUAGCUAAUACCGCAUAACAGUAGAUGUUGCAUGACAUCUACUUGAAAGGUGCAAUUGCAUCACUACCAGAUGGACCUGCGUUGUGUUAGCUAGUUGGUGAGGUAACGGCUCACCAAGGCGACGAUACAUAGCCGACCUGAGAGGGUGAUCGGCCACACUGGGACUGAGACACGGCCCAGACUCCUACGGGAGGCAGCAGUAGGGAAUCUUCGGCAAUGGACGGAAGUCUGACCGAGCAACGCCGCGUGAGUGAAGAAGGUUUUCGGAUCGUAAAGCUCUGUUGUAAGAGAAGAACGAGUGUGAGAGUGGAAAGUUCAC